rnacentral:rRNA from 1 species
UCUACCCAGAUAUUCGGGAUAACGGCGGGAAACUGCCGCUAAUACCGGAUACGCUCCAAUUUCGGUUGGGGGAAAGGCGGCCUCUGCUUGCAAGCUGUCGUAUCUGGAUGAGUCCGCGUCCCAUUAGCUUGUUGGCGGGGUAAUGGCCCACCAAGGCUACGAUGGGUAGCUGGUCUGAGAGGAUGAUCAGCCACACUGGAACUGAAACACGGUCCAGACUCCUACGGGAGGCAGCAGUGGGGAAUAUUGCGCAAUGGGGGAAACCCUGACGCAGCGACGCCGUGUGAGGGAAGAAGGCUUUCGGGUCGUAAACCUCUGUCGGGAGGGAAGAACCUUCCAGGUCUGAAUAAGCCCUGGAACUGACGGUACCUCCAAAGGAAGCACCGGCUAACUCCGUGUCAGCAGCCGCGGUAAUACGGAGGGUGCAAGCGUUAAUCGGAAUCACUGGGCGUAAAGCGC